rnacentral:rRNA from 1 species
CCUACGGGUGGCAGCAGUGAGGAAUAUUGGUCAAUGGCCGCAAGCCUGAACCAGCCAAGUAGCGUGAAGGAUGAAUGCCCUAAGGAUUGUAAACUUCUUUUGUCAAGGGAUAAAAUCAGGCACGAGUGCCUUUUUGUGUGUACUUGAUGAAUAAGCAUCGGCUAACUCCGUGCCAGCAGCCGCGGUAAUACGGAGGAUCCGAGCGUUAUCCGGAUUUAUUGGGUUUAAAGGGAGCGUAGAUGGGUUGUUAAGUCAGUGGUGAAAGUGUGGGGCUCAACCGUAAAAGGGCAAUUGAGACUGGCAGUCUUGAGAACAGUGGAGGUAGGCGGAAUGCGUGGUGUAGCGGUGAAAUGCUUAGAUAUUACGAAGAACUCCGAUUGCGAAGGCAGCUUACCAACCGGCCUCUGACACUGAGGCUCGAAAGCGUGGGUAUCAAACAGGAUUAGAUACCCCUGUAGUC